UACGUAGGGGGCAAGCGUUGUCCGGAUUUAUUGGGCGUAAAGAGCGUGUAGGCGGCCAGGUAGGUCUGCUGUGAAAACUCGAGGCUCAACCUCGAGACGUCGGCGGAAACCAUCUGGCUAGAGUCCGGAAGAGGAGAGUGGAAUUCCUGGUGUAGCGGUGAAAUGCGUAGAGAUCAGCAGGAACACCCGUGGCGAAGGCGGCCCCCUGGGCCGAACCUGACGCUGAGGCGCGAAGGCUAGGGGAGCGAACGGG
rnacentral:rRNA from 1 species